rnacentral:lncRNA from 1 species
GGUGGAUGUUUGGUUAGGAAGAGAGUGUUGGAUUUGAGCUCCGCCGGGCUGUUAAGAUGUUGUCCAUGAUGGUUGGCAACUUGGCAUGGUUGGUUACAAAGAGAAUUUGAGAUUGUGUGCUUGAUGUGUUUACAGUUCUGCUAAUGAGGGUGCCUUCUGAUAGGGGGUGUCUGCUGUUAGCUUCUUGCUGUGAGAUUCGGUUAUCUGGUGUCCAUGCUUUAGGCUUUCAUUCUGUGUCUUUGCAUGUUGACGAACUACUCCUGAAUGCGUUUCACGCUUGCUAUGCUCAUCUGGUCUGCUUGUUUUUGCUUGCCACCUUCAGCUAUUAUGUUAUGUUAGUUCUCUGCUUUAGUGAUUAUCUGCACUUCUCAAUUACAGACUUCAUUGCUUCUACAUAUGGUUUCUCUGUUUAUUAAUUUGCCUUGCUUUCUUUCAUGGUCCUUACUUUCUGUUUGGCAGCUUGUUUCAGUUACAACUGAGUUCUUGGGUUCCACUUUGUUGUUGGAAACUACUUACUGGUGGAGCUGCUGCUCGGUUCAUAGGGUAAGUCGUGCCUUGCUAUGUUUCCUAUUGCUUGCUAUUUAGUUGUGUUUAUUACUAUUUAUUUCAUAGGCUUCUGUGUUCUUCCCUUUGUAUGGUCUGUGUUGGUAUUUUUCCGGUUGCUCCUUAAUAAUUAAUUAUUACAGGCAUGUUUAUUAUCAGUUCUUCCUGUGUGCCUCUGCUUGAGGCUGUUGCGGGCUAUUGUCGAUUGCCGUUUCAUUCUUAUGUUCGAGAGGUGGCAUCCGAUGGUUGUUUGCUUGGAGGGGUGGAGAUUGAUGUUCUUACUAGGGAUGACGUGGUGCGGUGUCAAACCAAUUUUUACAAGGGAUAUAUGGGUCUGUUGUUGCAAAUUACAAUUACGAUAGCAUGUUAGCGUAUAAAGGUGUUGCGCAGUCGGUUCUGGUGCUUGCAGGUGCGCUUGCCCAGCCUGCCUGGCCUCUGGUACAUGCAGGCGGGCAGGUUGAUGUCGCUGGUAUAAAUACAAGUGUUCAAUUACAAUUAUUGUAUUCACAGCUGGUCAAUUCAGUGUCUGGGUUCUAAAGCCCGUCUAGGAGUGUCUUAGAUAGACUAUGUCUGGUCAUUAUAUUGUUCCCUUGGGUAUGCUUGUAAUAAACAGCUCUUUGUAUGCAUGAAUCAUUAUUAUUUCAUUUAAUUGGCUCUACUGUCUCUUGUGCUCCUGUUUGAUACUUUUUUGCAUUUACCUGUGCUGUCUUUACUUCGCUUCCGUCUUAAUAUGCAGUAUUUGCAUAUAUGUGUGCUCAUUGUUGAUGAUGGCUCGCCGUCGGAGUGUUUUGCAUGCUCCUGUUGUUGGUGUUUGUGGUAUUCGUAAGAGAAAGGGUAUGUUGUCUAUAUGGUCAUUUCCUUAGGAUUUUUUUGGCUUGCAUCUGUUCAUUUGUGUCGGUUCUGUCGUUUUCUAGGGGAUGCCUGGUUCCCAGUGCUCACUCCUGCCAUGUCGGCUAGAAAUCGGAAGAGGCGUAAAUUACUUAGGGGCCUUCGUUGCCAUGGUGUUACAUGUACUGGUCUUCUUGGUCGGGGUUCCUGUCUUUCCGUCCUUAGUAUCUUUGUUUUGGUUGUUGUUUCUCAUAACAACAUGCAUGUAGAUCUUCGGUUUGAAGGGGACUUGCCAACUGAUUGGACUGGUUUUCCUGUCGAGGUAGUUGACAAUCGCAAAGGUACUAACUAUUAGGUUGAUGUUAGUUUGUUUUUUCCUUUUCCUGUCAUGACGGCCUCCUUGAGUAUUGUGUUUUCUGUAGUUUCCUAUAAGGACAUAUCUUACUAUGGUCCUCCUGAGUACCAGUGCCCUCACUGCAAGGCUUCUUUUUGGUUUGAGGAGAGGGCCAAUCCAUAUUCUUCAUGGGUGCUACGUAAAAUUGUUUAUAACCUUUGUUGCAAAGGUGGAAAAGUCAUUGUUAAACCUUUCAGAAACCCUCCUGCUUUAUUGAGUCGUUUAUUAUCCUGUCAUGGUGACCGUGUUUCCAAGCAAUUCCUGACAAAGAUACGGCAUCACAGUUGGACGUUUGCAUUUACGUCUAUUGUGGCGACGUCAUUCGUUCGCUGGAAGGCACGCGGGGGUUAAUAUCUUCAAAAUUUGUGGUCAGGUCCAUCAUCUUAUUGGUUCUCUUUUGCCGAUGAAAACGAUUGUGCCAUCCAGCCAUACCAUUGGUCGGCGUUACUACCAGGAGAACUUUCAGGAUGGUCUUACAAUUUGUCGAGUGGAUGAGGCCCCUGAUACUUUUACUAUUUUUACAUGUAGUCCAAUGUGGCUUGAGAUUACUAAGGUGAAGCUUAACGAAUAUCUAGAUGAAAUCCAGUCAGGCCAUGCCUAUG